CUGUUCCUGCACAGUGAUUAUCCAGGUCUGUCAUUAUGGUGUAUUUUUGACCAGGGGCAGCUCCAUGAUGCCAGGAACGCCAGCUUGUCCCGGCAGCACCUCCAGCACCGUGGGCCGUCUGGGACACGGUAGGGGCUCGGGCGGAUGCUGUGGGGGUCGCCGGGUCAGCCUGGAUACCUUCCCUCUGAGCUGCAUCCCACCAGCCUUCUGAUGCCCCAGGCAGCUGGCAUUAAAUCUUGGUCUGGCGCUUGGCAGCAGGCGGGGAAGACAAACCCACAGCGGUGCCCACAGCAGUGCCCACAAGAGGGGGCGGGAAGCAAGAACUUCCACCUCGCCACGUGCCGGGCGCCCGGCCAGGUGCUCGACAGACAGGGCUCCAGGUAAUCCUGGCCACAGUCCCGGAGCAAGUGUCCUCUUUCCUCCUGACGGAUGUGCGGAAUCCAAGGCUCACCGGGUGCCCGCGGCUGCGCGGCUGGGAGGGCCAGGGUCCCAAGGCUUCCUCUGCUCCAACCUCGCUCACACCGCUAGGAGCGAUCCCAGGGGCUGCGGGGAGCUGGCAGGGCUGUUUGUGCAGUUACCUCAUGGCAGCGCCUUGGCCCGGGGCCCAGAGGCCGCAGACCCGCUCAGCCGGCCGUCAGCUCUCGGCCCGCGGUCCUUAUCUGGAACCGGACAUCAAAGCGGGGCUUUUCGUCCCAGCCCGAGGGCAGCAAACUCUCCCGUGGAGGCCUGGAGGGAAGGCGUCCAGGUCCAGGGCCACAACUCCUCAAGUCUGCGUGGCAGCCUGAGAGCAGCCAGCUGCGGAUCACACGCCAGUGGCUGCCCCUGUGUUCUAAUAAAACUUUAUUUACAAGACAGGCCGAGGGC